CCCACCUGUUUGACAUAUUUUUUUAAUUUCUCAUCACUCAAAUUUUUUUACUUUUUGUGGGAUCCAUACCUGAGCAACAUGUCAUAAGUUCUGUUAACCUACCCGCCUCACCCUUACUGUCUUCAUUUCAUUUUCUUUCCCUUCAGUCACCAUUGCCUUGUUACUCUCAAUGAAGCUGUCCUCUUUCUUUUUCAUUUCUCAUGUACACACACAUCAACAAGAACAAUCCUAUCCCAAACCUACGGCCAAACCAUCAUAAACAUACAAACACAAAUGAAUACAAACAUAAACUCAUAGGUACCCACAGAUGUUAAAAUCAAAACCCACAAAUACCCAAAUCAAAAAUCACAAAUACAGACCUUAUGCCCAAAUCAAAUCCGAACCCACACCACAAAUCCUCAACCCAUUUUGGCAUUUCGGACCUAGGCAUCUCAAAGAAUCUCUCCGAAGAUGAAGACGACAACGAUGAUGAGUUUCUCUGGCGCCGGUCUACGGCUGCGUCCCUCUGGAACUCCACCCAUCUCGAUGUCCUUGCUCCGGCCGAUCCACCUUGGUCCAGACUUCUCCGUGAGAAAUUGGACGACGAAUCGGCCAAUUUCUUGCUCAGGGAUCUUUGCCUUUUGAGAAUUUGAGGAUCAGACAACUCGGAGCUUCGGAACAGAGACUCGCGCUCAAAGAAAUCAGAUAAAUCCAAGCCGCAACAGAAGAUCCGAUUCUCGUCCAUGAAGAGAAUCGGGUUCCCGGCUAAAGAUGGGUUACAAGGAAUGUAGCAAUGGUUGAAGAUAGGAAUCAAAUGCGGAGCUCUCUUUAGAGCGUUCCGGGCUACUUGUAGAGCCUUUUCCGGGUGGGACGGUCUAGGUCCCCAAGACUUCGACUAGAUCGUAUUCCAAGCGAUCUUCAUUUAAUGUGAGAUGCAAAGGGAAAAGUACAGAUAGACAAGAGAGAAAGGAGUAAAAAAUUUAUGAAGAAAUGUUGGUUUGUUGCUGGGAGAAGGAGAAAGGGGAAAGAAGAAAGAGAAAGGGGAAAGAGAGAAAGAGAAAAAGUCGUUGGUGCUUAGGACUUGUCCCUGACACGGGUCUCACAAAGAUGCAUGUAUUUACAUUAUUGCUACCAUCACUCGUUUUUCAGAAAUUGAAAACAACUUAAAGUUGUUUUCAAUUUCUGUGACUCAAACUCAAUUUUUUGAGAAUUGAGUCACGGAAAUUGAGUUAGGAAACUCAUCCAAACAAAGCAAGUCUCUGUGGGGUCCACAAAAUUCAAAAAUUGAGUGAUGAAAACUGAGUAUUGGAUUAUGAAAACACUUAAACCAAACAACACCUUACAUGCUAAGCUCACUCACUCAUUUUCGCUCAUCAGUCUCCCUCUCUCUGUAAGAAAACUCAAAUACAGAUCUCCGACGAUGAACUGAGCGCGGUGGUCGGCGAUCUCAACUCCGCCGCUUUUUCUUCCGAUUACAGUUAGACAUUUAUGAUAAGUUCAUUCGGACAACCGACCUCUCAGAUCCCAAGCAUGAAUCAAUUGUGAAGGAAUUUUACUCAAGGGUUCUUGCCAAUGGAUGAGAAAGAAUUGCUUGAUAACAAGUGUUGCCCUAUGCACCUGAAGUCAUGUGUUCUGCGGAAAGAGGAUAAGUACUACUUUGCACUAUCAAAAUAUAAAAAAUUCUUGGAAGAAACUUUGACACAAAAUCCAGAUUUUUUUUCAGCCUUCUUUCCGGUUAAAUGAGGUGAGAUGGUAGGUAAUUAUGGAAAAAACUUAGUCUAGCAUGUCCUAAAUAGUUGUCCAUGAGCUUUACUGUAAAAAGAUUUUCUUGGGGGCUGCGUUCAGCAUGAUUAGUUUCCUGCUAAGAGCCUGAGCAUGCUGAUUGAGAAUGCUGUAAGCUUAAUAAUUGGCAUAUUGAGUAUAUACUGUUGUAGUAAAUUUGUAUUAGCUAUUGCUAUAGUUAUAGGCACAUGACAGACUGCAUUUGAUAGUACUUUUCAUUCAAGAUAUUCUUUUUGAAGAGUCAUUAUGCCAUGAUUGCUACUAUAUUCCUUAAAAUGUUUUUGUGCUGAACCAACAAUACUUUAAAUAUGCCUUUCGGGUAAAGAUUUAUUGUUGACAUGCCCUGUAUUGAUAGUGCUUCUGCUCUCAAAGGUCAAUCAUGCUUGGCAGGGGAAUCAGUUUUUAUGAAUUUAAUCUAAAAUUCUCUCUGCAUCUCUUUCCCCUUGGCAAUUUAUUGAUGAAACGUUAGGAAUACUCUUUUUGUAUCCUGCUAUAUGGAAUUUUCUAUUAAUCACUUCCAUAAUCUUUUUUGCUUGAAGGUGCAAAGCCGGAUCAAAAGUGGCUCAAGAAAUUUUUUUCUGUUUCCUGAGCAUCAGUGUAUUGGGGCAUCCUAGUUCCUAAUGACAAUAAGCAAACCAUAUAUGUGUGGCUUGAUGCAUUACUAGGAUAUGUAUCAGCACUAUCAGAGGAUGCAGGGCAAGCAAAUCUACAAAGUGCUGUUUCUUCAGGUUGGCCUGCCUCACUACACUUGAUUAAAUAAGGUAUAAGCAUCUUCUAUGCUUAUUGGAAAGUUCGUGUAACUGGCCACUUAAUAGCUGUACUAAAUCUAUUAUCUUCAUUCUAAUUAUUAAAACCUAAUAUAAGCUGUAAGACCCCUGAUUCAUUAAUAGAUAAUUUUGCAAAUAAUUAUCUCUCCAGGUAGGUGCUGUAUUUAAGUUUCUAACUUUGGAUCGUGCAUGCUGUGAAAUAUGACCUCAUAUUUUUUGCUCAAAUUCUAUUAAAUAUUAAUAGUGCUAGAUUUUAGUUUCUUUUGAAUGAAAAGUAACACUUAAUAUGAAAAUUCCUUAAUUGGUGUUGCUGCUGACUGCUGCUGUAUGAGACCAGUAAAUAUGGAAUGACAUGAACAUUGGUAAGAGUGAAGCAGACAAAGACCACACGCUGUUGGAAUUUUAGAGGCAAUGCUUAGAAGUCUACAGACCAAAGGUUGAGGAGGCUGCCAAUGCCAAGGCAUGCCUCCAUUGUCUGUUGCAGCUGAAGAAGCUGAACUUGCCACUCUCAUGGCUGAACGCCUCCAUCAGGAUUUUGGAUUAUUGUGGACUUGGUGAAAUGUGGUAUUUUGUUAUUUUGCUUGGAUGUUUUAGUUUAUCAUGAUAGGAUUUUGGAACUAUUGCGGACUUGGUAAUAUACCAAUUUGUGGUCUUUUGAUGUAUGUGUGGUUGUGGAACACAUUGAAAGAGACUUGGAGCAUUUUAUAUAAUAUUGAGUUUUGAGAUA